AUUGAACGCUGGCGGCAUGCUUUACACAUGCAAGUCGAACGGCAGCGCGGGCUUCGGCCUGGCGGCGAGUGGCGAACGGGUGAGUAAUGCAUCGGAACGUGCCCAGUAGUGGGGGAUAGCCCGGCGAAAGCCGGAUUAAUACCGCAUACGACCUGAGGGUGAAAGCGGGGGACCGAAAGGCCUCGCGCUAUUGGAGCGGCCGAUGUCGGAUUAGCUAGUUGGUGGGGUAAAGGCUUACCAAGGCGACGAUCCGUAGCUGGUCUGAGAGGACGACCAGCCACACUGGGACUGAGACACGGCCCAGACUCCUACGGGGGGCAGCAGUGGGGAAUUUUGGACAAUGGGGGCAACCCUGAUCCAGCCAUGCCGCGCGCGGGAAGAAGGCCUUCGGGUUGUAAACCGCUUUUGUUCGGGAAGAAAUCCUCUGGGCUAAUACCCCGGGGGGAUGACGGUACCGGAAGAAUAAGCACCGGCUAACUACGUG
rnacentral:rRNA from 1 species